rnacentral:rRNA from 1 species
GACGAACGCUGGCGGCGUGCUUAACACAUGCAAGUCGAACGGAAAGGCCCUGCUUUUGUUGGGUGCUCGAGUGGCGAACGGGUGAGUAACACGUGAGUAACCUGCCCUUGACUUUGGGAUAACUUCAGGAAACUGGGGCUAAUACCGGAUAGGAGCUCCUGCUGCAUGGUGGGGGUUGGAAAGUUUCGGCGGUUGGGGAUGGACUCGCGGCUUAUCCGCUUGUUGGUGGGGUAGUGGCUUACCAAGGCUUUGACGGGUAGCCGGCCUGAGAGGGUGACCGGCGACAUUGGGACUGCGAUACGCCGCAGACUCCUACGUGAGGCAGCAGUGGGGAAUAUUGCACAAUGGGCGGAAGCCUGAGACAGCAACCCCGCGUGCGUGAUGACCGCUUUCGGGUUGUAAACCGCUUUCGCCUUUGACGAAGCGUGAGUGACGGUAAUGGGUAAAGAAGCACCGGCUAACUACGUG